AUGCAUAAGCUUCAAGCUUCGAGUCUCUAUCUGAUGUAUAGUCCAUUUGAGAAGAGAAGUGAAAAGCCCAACAACAAUACUACAAUGACGCUUGCCAUUGGAGUUAGUCUGUCAAUUCUUCACGUGGGGCCUAGUUCUGUUCUCACCUUGUUGUAUGAGAUCGUAGCACAAGGAGUUGCAUCUGAGCUCCUGCCAUUUCUACAAUUUUUGAUUAAUGAACACAAUUGGCAUGCUAACCGUCAACACAUUGGACUGCAGCCAUACUUAUUACAGAAGAAAACAGUGGUUUUGCAAAAUCUGCAGGGAAUAGUCACCUUUUUGUGA
rnacentral:rRNA from 1 species